CAGCGCGUCUGCAUGCUUUCGAGCUAUUAAUUAAAUUAAAGAGGGAAAAGGCUGGUUUUGGGUGACAUGGGAGGGUUAGAAAGUCUUGUUCAAUUCGUUAAACAAGCGUGCAGCGCAGCCUCACAUUGAUAACAAGACGUACACUAACAAAUAGUCUACCAACGGGGAAACAAAGAAAAACAAAACAAGUUAGGCUUCUGACUGCUUUGUGCCAAUUUCUGCGGCUCCGAAUACAAACUGCAGGCGCUGUCCAAGGAAACAAGAGAAGAUAAAAUGCCACCAGAGAAGCAGCUACAUAGGAGUUACACAAUUAUCCACUGUUUUGUUUUUGUUGAGCUGUUUGUAGCGUCAAAACAUUCUAGCAUCUGAAAUCAACUGUCAAAAACAUGGAUCACCCCUCAGAAG